rnacentral:rRNA from 1 species
CCUACGGGGGGCAGCAGUGGGGAAUAUUGCACAAUGGGGGGAACCCUGAUGCAGCGACGCCGCGUGGGUGAAGGAGUACUUCGGUACGUAAAGCCCUAUCAGCAGGAAAGAAAAUGACGGUACCUGACUAAGAAGCCCCGGCUAACUACGUGCCAGCAGCCGCGGUAAUACGUAGGGGGCAAGCGUGAACCGGAUUUACUGGGUGGAAAGGGAGCGUAGACGGCAGUGCAAGUCCGGAGUGAAAGCCCGGGGCUCAACCCGGGGACGGCUCUGGAAACUGCAAGGCUGGAGUGCGGGAGGGGGAGGUGGAAUUCCAGGUGGAGCAGUGAAAUGCGUAGAUAUCAGGAAGAACACCGACGGCGAAGGCGGCCUGCUGGGACGUAACUGACGUUGAGACUCGAAAGCGUGGGGAGCAAACAGGAUUAGAUACCCGGGUAGUC